UAGGGAAUCUUCCGCAAUGGGCGAAAGCUUGACGGAGCAACGCCGCGUGAGUGAUGAAGGUCUUCGGAUCGUAAAACUCUGUUAUUAGGGAAGAACAAAUGUGUAAGUAACUAUGCACGUCUUGACGGUACCUAAUCAGAAAGCCACGGCUAACUACGUGCCAGCAGCCGCGGUAAUACGUAGGUGGCAAGCGUUAUCCGGAAUUAUUGGGCGUAAAGCGCGCGUAGGCGGUUUUUUAAGACUGAUGUGAAAGCCCACGGCUCAACCGUGGAGGGUCAUUGGAAACUGGAAAACUUGAGUGCAGAAGAGGAAAGUGGAAUUCCAUGUGUAGCGGUGAAAUGCGCAGAGAUAUGGAGGAACACCAGUGGCGAAGGCGACUUUCUGGUCUGUAACUGACGCUGAUGUGCGAAAGCGUGGGGAUCAAACAGG
rnacentral:rRNA from 1 species